ensembl:misc_RNA Metazoa_SRP Metazoan signal recognition particle RNA
GCCGGGCACGGUGGUGCGUGCCUGUGGUCCCAGCUACUCCGGAGGCUGAGGUGGGAGGAUUGCUUGAGCCCAGUAGUUCUGGGCUACAGUGUGCUAUGCCGAUCGGGUGUCCGCACUAAGUUUGGCAUCAAUAUGGUGACCUCCCGGGGGCAGGGAACACCGGGUUGCCUAAGGAGGGGUGAACCGGCCCAGGUUGGAAACAGAGCAGGUCAAAACUCCUGUGCUGAUCAGUGGUGGGAUCGCACAUGUGAAUAGCCACUGCACUCCAGCCUGGGCAACAGAGAGAGACCCUGUCUCUU